CUCGGGGUAAAUUGUAGUCUCAUUUUCAAUCAUAUCACAUCUCUGUUAUGAUAUUGGCACAUUCCUGUGUGAUUGGAUAAGUGUCAGAUUUUCACUUGGAUGAUUCCUUUUAAAAUCUUUUCAAAUUCUUAGUGCUGAGAAAAAGUGCAUGUUUGAAUUGAUUGAGAUGAGGUUGAAUGAAGCCAGAACAUGUAGAAUUAAAUUUCCUGUUUAACAAAUAUUAAUAAAUAAAGUCUUAGAUGUUAAGCAGGAUGUUGGUAUGGGGAAAUUUGGUUUUUAACUAAUUUACAAACAAUUGAUUAGCCAGCAAUUAUCAGUGAAUUGGAAAUCUAUAGAGUACAUGCAUUUUAUUCUGCAUAUGAAAUAAAUAAAUAGAAAUAAUAAAAAUAUAAAUUAGUGCCAUGAACAAUUUCCUCAUAGUACAUGUAACUAUUUAAUUUGUUCCCUAGUUCCUUGCAAUAGUGGGUCUCAUUGG
rnacentral:lncRNA from 1 species